rnacentral:rRNA from 1 species
UGGGGAAUAUUGGACAAUGGGCGAAAGCCUGAUCCAGCCAUGCCGCGUGUGUGAAGAAGGCCUUUUGGUUGUAAAGCACUUUAAGUGGGGAGGAAAAGCUUAUGGUUAAUACCCAUAAGCCCUGACGUUACCCACAGAAUAAGCACCGGCUAACUCUGUGCCAGCAGCCGCGGUAAUACAGAGGGUGCAAGCGUUAAUCGGAAUUACUGGGCGUAAAGCGCGCGUAGGUGGUUAUUUAAGUCAGAUGUGAAAGCUCCGGGCUUAACCUGGGAACUGCAUCUGAUACUGGAUAACUAGAGUAGGUGAGAGGGGAGUAGAAUUCCAGGUGUAGCGGUGAAAUGCGUAGAGAUCUGGAGGAAUACCGAUGGCGAAGGCAGCUCCCUGGCAUCAUACUGACACUGAGGUGCGAAAGCGUGGGUAGCAAACAGGAUUAGAUACUCUGGUAGUCCACGCCGUAACGAUGUUUACCAGUCGUUGGGUCUUUUAAAGACUUAGUGACGCAGUUAACGCAAUAAGUAGACCGCCUGGGGAGUACGGCCGCAAGGUU